rnacentral:lncRNA from 1 species
AAAGAAACUUGAAGAUAGUGAAUGGAGAAAAAGUUGGAAUAAUCUACCUCUAGCAUUUUGAUAAAUGCAUCCUUCAUCCAGGUGAUGUAGGAUAAUAAAAAACAAUAGGAAUGCAAGAAGAUAUUUAGACGCACUCCGGGCUUUGGCAUCACACCAAAGGCGUAAGUGAACCACUCUCAUAGAGAAAUUAAAAAUAUUUCGGCAUCACAUCGGUGGUGCCUUGAAACCCCUCCAAGUGAACCUGUGCCUCACACGGAUACAAGAGAUCCAUAAUUUCUUUUCACUCGCUCUCAUUUUAAAAUCUUACAAUACACAAAUCUGUAAAGAUCCACAUUAAUCUACUUGAAAAUCCUAAAGACUAAGUUAUGACACCUGAUACAUUAACCUGCAGAGUACAUGUGCAAACUGCAUUUAUUACAUAAGAAACUAAAAAGCCUCUAAUUUCUUAAAUUUUAAACUUGGCUCCAGCAUCACCAGGACAACAGCACACACUGCGUGUUUAUUACAUAAGAAACUAAAAAGCCUCUAAUUUCUUAAAUUUUAAACUUGGCUCCUGCAUCACCAGGACAACAGCACACACUGCGUGUGCAAACAUGCAAAUUGAGUUUAGGGUACUUGGAGACAUA